rnacentral:rRNA from 1 species
GAUGAACGCUGGCGGCGUGCCUAAUACAUGCAAAUCGAGCGAACAGACGAGGAGCUUGCUCCUCUGACGUUAGCGGCGGACGGGUGAGUAACACGUGGAUAACCUACCUAUAAGACUGGGAUAACUUUGGGAAACCGGAGCUAAUACCGGAUAAUAUAUUGAACCGCAUGGUUCAAUAGUGAAAGACGGUUUUGCUGUCACUUAUAGAUGGAUCCGCGCCGCAUUAGCUAGUUGGUAAGGUAACGGCUUACCAAGGCGACGAUGCGUAGCCGACCUGAGAGGGUGAUCGGCCACACUGGAACUGAGACACGGUCCAGACUCCUACGGGAGGCAGCAGUAGGGAAUCUUCCGCAAUGGGCGAAAGCCUGACGGAGCAACGCCGCGUGAGUGAUGAAGGUCUUCGGAUCGUAAAACUCUGUUAUUAGGGAAGAACAAAUGUGUAAGUAACUAUGCACGUCUUGACGGUACCUAAUCAGAAAGCCACGGCUAACUACGUG